rnacentral:tRNA from 1 species
CGGGGUGUAGCGCAGCUUGGUAGCGCAUCUGCUUUGGGAGCAGAGGGUCGCAGGUUCGAAUCCUGUCACCCCGACCA